CUGGAUUUGAAUAGCAUGUGUGCAGGUGGACUUUGCAGCUCGCAGACCUGGGGCUCGGCUGCCUAGCGCUCGGCGCGCGCCUUCCUUGGGAUAUUGCACUCCUUCUCUGCGAUUUUUUUAUUUUUUUUUUUUGGUCUCGCCGGAGCCUGAUGAUAUUUCCAGCUCUGAGGGAGCUGCCGGAAGACUGGAGAUAGCGCAGUGAGCGAGACUAUAAAGCCAGCAAAGGGCAGCUUCCGACUCGGAGCGGGAAAGAUUACGGAGGAACUGCACAGGGCCAGACGGCAGCUCUUAAUUUCCCUACUUUUUAAUUUUCCGCCCUCGCCGAGGAGAAUGCAGCCCUUCCCUCCGGCCGGUUUAUAAUGAGGUGAGUAAACAGCCUUUUGUCGCGUAGGGCUCGCUCGCUGAUGUAAUGUAAAUAUUAUUUUUUGUUUGGGCUA
rnacentral:lncRNA from 1 species